rnacentral:rRNA from 1 species
GCGGCAAGAGCUCAGAUUUGAAAUCGUGCUUUGCGGCACGAGUUGUAGAUUGCAGGUUGGAGUCUGUGUGGAAGGCGGUGUCCAAGUCCCUUGGAACAGGGCGCCCAGGAGGGUGAGAGCCCCGUGGGAUGCCGGCGGAAGCAGUGAGGCCCUUCUGACGAGUCGAGUUGUUUGGGAAUGCAGCUCCAAGCGGGUGGUAAAUUCCAUCUAAGGCUAAAUACUGGCGAGAGACCGAUAGCGAACAAGUACUGUGAAGGAAAGAUGAAAAGCACUUUGAAAAGAGAGUGAAACAGCACGUGAAAUUGUUGAAAGGGAAGGGUAUUGCGCCCGACAUGGGGAUUGCGCACCGCUGCCUCUCGUGGGCGGCGCUCUGGGCUUUCCCUGGGCCAGCAUCGGUUCUUGCUGCAGGAGAAGGGGUUCUGGAACGUGGCUCUUCGGAGUGUUAUAGCCAGGGCCAGAUGCUGCGUGCGGGGACCGAGGACUGCGGCC